rnacentral:rRNA from 1 species
GCAGUAGCCGCGGUAAUACCGAGGGUGCGAGCGUUAAUCGGAUUUACUGGGCGUAAAGCGUGCGUAGGCGGCUUCUUAAGUCGGAUGUGAAAUCCCUGAGCUUAACUUAGGAAUUGCAUUCGAUACUGGGAAGCUAGAGUAUGGGAGAGGAUGGUAGAAUUCCAGGUGUAGCGGUGAAAUGCGUAGAGAUCUGGAGGAAUACCGAUGGCGAAGGCAGCCAUCUGGCCUAAUACUGACGCUGAGGUACGAAAGCAUGGGGAGCAAACAGGAUUAGAUACCCCAGUAGUCCCUGUCUCUUAUAC